rnacentral:tRNA from 1 species
GCCUCGGUAGCUCAGCCUGGUAGAGCGCGUCCUUGGUAAGGACGAGGCCGCGGGUUCAUAUCCCGCCCGAGGCU